UAUCCGGAAUUAUUGGGCGUAAAGGGCUCGUAGGCGGUUCGUCGCGUCCGGUGUGAAAGUCCAUCGCUUAACGGUGGAUCCGCGCCGGGUACGGGCGGGCUUGAGUGCGGUAGGGGAGACUGGAAUUCCCGGUGUAACGGUGGAAUGUGUAGAUAUCGGGAAGAACACCAAUGGCGAAGGCAGGUCUCUGGGCCGUCACUGACGCUGAGGAGCGAAAGCGUGGGGAGCGAACAGGAUUAGAUACCCUGGUAGUCCACGCCGUAAACGGUGGAUGCUGGAUGUGGGGACCAUUCCACGGUCUCCGUGUCGGAGCCAACGCGUCAAGCAUCCCGCCUGGGGAGUACGGCCGCAAGGCUAAAACUC
rnacentral:rRNA from 1 species